GACGAACGCUGGCGGCGUGCUUAACACAUGCAAGUCGAACGGUAAGGCCCUUCGGGGUACACGAGUGGCGAACGGGUGAGUAACACGUGGGUGAUCUGCCCUGCACUUCGGGAUAAGCCUGGGAAACUGGGUCUAAUACCGGAUAGGACUCCGGACUGCAUGGUCUGGGGUGGAAAGCUUUUGCGGUGUGGGAUGGGCCCGCGGCCUAUCAGCUUGUUGGUGGGGUGAUGGCCUACCAAGGCGACGACGGGUAGCCGGCCUGGGAGGGUGACCGGCCACACUGGGACUGAGAUACGGCCCAGUCUCCUACGGGAGGCAGCAGUGGGGAAUAUUGCACAAUGGGCGCAAGCCUGAUGCAGCGACGCCGCGUGAGGGAUGACGGCCUUCGGGUUGUAAACCUCUUUCAGCAUCGACGAAGCGAAAGUGACGGUAGGUGCAGAAGAAGGACCGGCCAACUACGUGCCAGCCGCCGCAGUAA
rnacentral:rRNA from 1 species